rnacentral:misc_RNA from 1 species
AAAUCAAGAGACAUUCAACUCAAAUAAAGACCCAUAAUCAAUCACUCUGCAUUCUUGAUGCGUCUUCACUUGGUCAUUCCAAUGGUAAAGAACCAAUUGUUUUAAACCUCUUGUUUUCUUCACUUACUCAAACGAUAAAGAACCAUCUGCUUCCUCAACUGAGGUAAAGCUGUGUCUGCAACUUUGAGACCUUCCUCAUAGAUCAUUUGCUCUUACUUGCUCCUCUCGUGCUCUUGGAGGAAUCCCAAGUCCGGUCCUUACAUUAGUUCCCAUUUCUAUAAGGUCCUCCACCUUGUGGAACCCAGAGGCUUGAAGGGCAGCAACAGACGCGGAGGCAGCGGAGCCGACGAAGAGAGAGGCGACCGCGAAGGCUUUAAAAGGCAUUAGGCGAGAGUCGCCGGCGUAGCCUUUCCGAUAUGAUGACGUGCCCCAAACGAAUUGGGUACAGCUUGCCAAGGCCCACCACCACCACCCCGGGAUCCCAUGGCCGUCCUCUCCAGCACGGCUGCUCCCGUCGGCGUCCAUUUU